AACGAACGCUGGCGGCAUGCCUAACACAUGCAAGUCGAACGAGACCUUCGGGUCUAGUGGCGCACGGGUGCGUAACGCGUGGGAAUCUGCCCUUGGGUUCGGAAUAACAGUUAGAAAUGACUGCUAAUACCGGAUAAUGUCUUCGGACCAAAGAUUUAUCGCCCAGGGAUGAGCCCGCGUAGGAUUAGCUAGUUGGUGAGGUAAAGGCUCACCAAGGCGACGAUCCUUAGCUGGUCUGAGAGGAUGAUCAGCCACACUGGGACUGAGACACGGCCCAGACUCCUACGGGAGGCAGCAGUGGGAAUAUUGGACAAUGGGCGAAAAGCCUGAUCCAGCAAUGCCGCGUGAGUGAUGAAGGCCUUAGGGUUGUAAAGCUCUUUACCCGGAUGAUAAUGACAGUACCGGAGAAUAAGCCCGGCUAAUCCGUGCCAGCAGCCG
rnacentral:rRNA from 1 species